GGUGGCUCAGUGGUAGAGUACUUGCCUUGCGUGCAUGAGGCCCUGGGUUCAAUUCCUCAGCACCA
rnacentral:tRNA from 1 species